UUCCAGCUCCGUAGAGUGUUU
rnacentral:piRNA from 1 species